AGCCGCGACGCGCGGAUGCGCCACCGCGCCACGCCGCACCGCACGCCGCUCGCACCCUACACCGACAUGUUUAUCGUGCGAUAAUGAAUGCAAUGCUACAGAGCAAAUAGAUAAUCAUACACUGGAUGCACGCCCUACUAGAAACGAUAUAUUCUCGUUGAUAUGAUUCAAAUCUCAGACAACUUGAAUGCGCUAUUUAUAAGUCGACUGCAUUCUAAAUUAUUAUUACCGCGCAACACGAAACGGAUCCGGUUGGAAGCGGGGGGACCGGUAUGGCGGCCAUGUUGAGACGUGACGUCACGUGACGAGUCAGCGGAGCGUGCGGGACGGCAACGCUGCCUGCCUUCUGCUCACUCUGCUGUGUUGCCGUUCAUUUCUGUUGUGUUAAUAAUAAUGAAGGCUCAUCGCUUUUUGUAUGCGAUGCGAGGAUCGGUGAAAAAACAGUUAUGCGGCCAGGUAAACUACUAUGACGAACCAGUGAACACUGUGCGCGACGCACACUAAUAAAUUCCAAAAUGAAUAAAUAAUAAGACGUUGGAGAGACUAUUAUAACAUUCAUUUUUUUUCAUAGAUUCAAUCUAUUGAAUCUAUGAAAAAAACUUGAGUACUAUGAAGUAUCUAUACUUCAUAGUACUCAUAGAAUAGUAAGAUGACGUCGCUUAGGAUUAAGAAAAAGAGACAAAUUAUAAGAACUAUUGAGGACAGAAGGGAAAAAAUGUUGGGACACUUGAUACGACACGACGAACUUAUGAACAUUAUAAUAGAAGGAAGAAGAGGAAGAGGGAGACCAAGGCAUAAUUACAUCAGGCAGAUCAAGGAAGGAGUUGGUGUCGUGUCGAAUCAAGAGGUGAAGGGAUUCGCUGAAAAUCGUAGUGAGUGGGAAGAGCUCCACCGACAAGAGCGCAGCUCUUUAACAGGAUAGAUAAAUAGAUAGAGGGGAAGAUAAUUAUGAGGAAAGGUUAGCUGUAGAGCCAAAUGGAAUAUUGUAUGGAAGAUAUUAGGAGAAAAUUGUUCCAAAUAGCAGAGUCAAAUUUUGCCGAGUUUUGAUAAGUUAUUGAUUUGAGUUUUUCAUUUAAAAAGACAUUUAAUUUUGUUAAAUUCAAGAAUGUGAUAUGCACACACACCAAUAGAAGUAUGGUUUUAUGCCGAAACCGAAAUAUACAUUGCGAAUGUCAUGUUUGUGCUGUGUCAGUUAACUGUGACACAAAUAAAAAAUAUGAAUAAUUAUUUCAUUAGAA